ACUCACAAAUUUGGAUAGGAUGGCGAGGUGGCCAUAGGAUGGCGAGGUGGCCAUAGGAUGGCGAGGUGGCCAUAGGAUGGCGAGGUGGCCAUAGGAUGGCGAGGUGGCCAUAGGAUGGCGAGGUGGCCAUAGGAUGGCGAGGUGGCCAUUUUAUUGCUAUUAGUCUGUUAACGGCGAAGUGGCUGCUUAGAUACUAUGGAAUUAAUUUAGAAUGUAGCGUGGAAUCUAUUAGGAUUCAGAUCGGAAUACGAAACAGAAAUGGAGUUAUUGCAUAAAGGAUCAAAUGUAAGGAUCCUGUAAUGUCCUGGGUCAGGAGUGGCCGAGACGUACAAAAAUAGUUUCUUUUUUUUGCAGAUAUCGAUGAUGCACGGCCUUCAACAUCACACGAGGACGUGUGAUAUGUCAGGACGGCCGUGUCAGAGGAAGCAAUGAGUCGAGUUGAUUCUUGUUUACAUGCUUAAUGUUUAUUAUUAUUAGUUUUACGUUGUAAUUACUUUUAUAAUUCCUAACUUUAUUUUAUCUUGUUUGUUACGUUUUUCUAUAACUUUAAAACCUUUCAUAAAAAUAAACUGUAAUAAAAGGUCCCAUAACUGUAAAUCACGUAGGCAGCGACCAAUCAGAGCAGAGCGUCUUGUCUCGAGCGUGGUCGAGGCGCCAUCUUCACUUUGGAGAAAGCUUGUAUUGUGGUGUGACGCAUUUUGUAUUUUGUGAGCAUAAAAACGUAUCGAGUUGGAUCGUUGGAUAAUUUGGAUAUAGUUAAAGUGAGAUUGGUGCACCGAACUCGCUGCUCGGUCUAAACUGUUGUAUUCCUACAAUAUUACCGUGGAAUAACAAAAUAUUGUAUAAACUGAAUUAAACUACUGAUAAAACGGCA